UCUAUACGGUGAACUGCGAAUGGCUCAUUAAAUCAGUUAUCGUUUAUUUGAUAGUACCUUACUACUUGGAUAACCGUGGUAAUUCUAGAGCUAAUACAUGCUAAAAACCUCGACUUCGGAAGGGGUGUAUUUAUUAGAUAAAAAACCAAUGCCCUUCGGGGCUCCCUGGUGAUUCAUAAUAACUUAACGAAUCGCAUGGCCUUGUGCCGGCGAUGGUUCAUUCAAAUUUCUGCCCUAUCAACUUUCGAUGGUAGGAUAGUGGCCUACCAUGGUUUCAACGGGUAACGGGGAAUUAGGGUUCUAUUCCGGAGAGGGAGCCUGAGAAACGGCUGCCACAUCCAAGGAAGGCAGCAGGCGCGCAAAUUACCCAAUCCCGACACGGGGAGGUAGUGACAAUAAAUACUGAUACAGGGCUCUUUUGGGUCUUGUAAUUGGAAUGAGUACAAUUUAAAUCCCUUAACGAGGAACAAUUGGAGGGCAAGUCUGGUGCCAGCAGCCGCGGUAAUUCCAGCUCCAAUAGCGUAUAUUAAAGUUGUUGCAGUUAAAAAGCUCGUAGUUGAACCUUGAGCCUGGCUGGCCGGUCCGCCUCACCGCGUGCACUGGUCCGGCCGGGUUUUUCCUUCUGGGGAGCCGCAUGCCCUUCACUGGGUGUGUCGGGGAACCAGGACUUUUACUUUGAAAAAAUUAGAGUGUUCAAAGCAGGCCUAUGCUCGAAUACAUUAGCAUGGAAUAAUAGAAUAGGACGUGUGGUUCUAUUUUGUUGGUUUCUAGGACCGCCGUAAUGAUUAAUAGGGAUAGUCGGGGGCAUCAGUAUUCAAUUGUCAGAGGUGAAAUUCUUGGAUUUAUUGAAGACUAACUACUGCGAAAGCAUUUGCCAAGGAUGUUUUCAUUAAUCAGUGAACGAAAGUUA
rnacentral:rRNA from 1 species